rnacentral:SRP_RNA from 1 species
GCCAGGUGCGGUGCGUGCCUGUAGUCCCAGCUACUCGAGAGGCUGAGGCUGGAGGAUCGCUUGAGUCCAGGAGUUCUGGGCUGUAGUGCGCUAGGCUGAUCGGGUGUCCACACUACGUUUGGCAUCAAUAUGAUGACCUCCUGGGAGCAGCGGACCACCAGGUUGCCUAAAGAGGGGUGACCUGGCCCAGGUCGGAAAUGGAGCAGGUCAUAAAUCCCAUGCUGAUCAGUAGUGAGAUCCCCUGUGAAUAGCCACUGCACUCCAGCCUGGGCAACACAGUGAGACCUCAUCUCU